rnacentral:tRNA from 1 species
GGGAAGGUAGCUCAGUGGUAGAGUACUUGCCUUGCAUGCAUGAGGCCCAGGGCUCCUUUCCU